rnacentral:lncRNA from 1 species
GUGAAUCGGAAGCUGUGAACUCAGAAACUGUCGGGCUCCUGUGCAUGGAAACUCAUGCAGAUUAGCCCUCAGCUAACUACUGCCAGUCCUCCUCUUUUUGCUGAGGAAGACUGGCCCUGAGCUAACAUCCGUGCCCAUCUUCCUCUAGUUUAUACGUGGGACGCCUACCACAGCAUGGCUGCCAAGCAGUGCUGUGUCCGCACCCGGGAUCCGAACCAGCGAACCCCGGGCCGCCGAGAAGCGGAACGUGCGAACUUAACCGCUGCGCCACCGGGCCGGACCCUGGCUCAUUUUGAAAUAGGAGAGCCCUUGCUCUGGAAGAAGCAAGCUAUCAUGUUGUGAACUGCCCUCUCAAAACCUGGAGAGGCCCAUCUGGCCAGGAAGGAAGUACAGCUUCCAGCCAACAGUCCUUGAGGAACUGAGGCCCUCAGUCUAAAAGUCUCUAAGCAACUGAGUCUUGACAACAGCCAUGUGAGUGAGUUUGAAAGCAGAUCUCCCCCCAGUCAAGCUUUCAGAUGAAGACACAGACCUGGCCAAUCGCUGAUUACAGCCUGUGUGACUUACUGAGGCAGAAGAAGCUAACUAAACUGUGCCGGGAUUCUUGGCCCACAGAAAGUUGAAGAUCAGCGUGGGAACUCACUCCAUGCAAUAGUUCAGGGAUCCGGGCAAUGCCCCCAUCAUCUCUUAUGGUCUUGAAGUCUUCCAACUGUGUCCUCUGCCUCAGUCUGACCUACCGGAGAAGAAAGUGAGCCUUGAGUACCAUGCGGA